rnacentral:rRNA from 2 species
UACGUAGGGUGCGAGCGUUAAUCGGAAUUACUGGGCGUAAAGCGUGCGCAGGCGGUUGUGUAAGACAGAUGUGAAAUCCCCGGGCUCAACCUGGGAACUGCGUUUGUGACUGCACGACUAGAAUACGGCAGAGGGGGGUGGAAUUCCACGUGUAGCAGUGAAAUGCGUAGAUAUGUGGAGGAACACCGAUGGCGAAGGCAGCCCCCUGGGCCUGUAUUGACGCUCAUGCACGAAAGCGUGGGGAGCAAACAGG